rnacentral:tRNA from 1 species
GCGCCACUAGCUCAACUGGCUAGAGCAUCUGACUCUUAAUCAGAGGGUUCGGGGUUCGAGUCCCCGGUGGCGUACCA